UACGUAGGGGGCUAGCGUUGUCCGGAUUUAUUGGGCGUAAAGAGCGUGUAGGCGGCCUGGUAGGUCUGCUGUGAAAACUUGAGGCUCAACCUCGAGAUGUCGGCGGAAACCAUCUGGCUAGAGUCCGGAAGAGGAGAGUGGAAUUCCUGGUGUAGCGGUGAAAUGCGCAGAUAUCAGGAAGAACACCUAUGGCGAAGGCAGCUCUCUGGGACGGUACUGACGCUGAGACGCGAAAGCGUGGGGAGCGAACAGG
rnacentral:rRNA from 1 species